CCUACGGGCGGCAGCAAUGGGGAAUAUUGGACAAUGGGCGAAAGCCUGAUCCAGCCAUGCCGCGUGUGUGAAGAAGGCCUUCGGGUUGUAAAGCACUUUCAGUGGGGAAGAAAGCCUUGGGGCUAAUACCCUCGAGGAAGGACAUCACCCACAGAAGAAGCACCGGCUAACUCCGUGCCAGCAGCCGCGGUAAUACGGAGGGUGCGAGCGUUAAUCGGAAUUACUGGGCGUAAAGCGCGCGUAGGCGGUCUGAUAAGCCGGUUGUGAAAGCCCCGGGCUCAACCUGGGAACGGCAUCCGGAACUGUCAGGCUAGAGUGCAGGAGAGGAAGGUAGAAUUCCCGGUGUAGCGGUGAAAUGCGUAGAGAUCGGGAGGAAUACCAGUGGCGAAGGCGGCCUUCUGGACUGACACUGACGCUGAGGUGCGAAAGCGUGGGUAGCAAACAGGAUUAGAUACCCUGGUAGUC
rnacentral:rRNA from 1 species